rnacentral:rRNA from 1 species
UACGGGGGGGGCAAGCGUUGCUCGGAAUCACUGGGCGUAAAGGGUGCGUAGGCGGGUCUUUAAGUCAGGGGUGAAAUCCUGGAGCUCAACUCCAGAACUGCCUUUGAUACUGGGGAUCUCGAGUCCGGAAGAGGUGAGUGGAACUCCGAGUGUAGAGGUGAAAUUCGUAGAUAUUCGGAAGAACACCAGUGGCGAAGGCGGCUCACUGGUCCGGUACUGACGCUGAGGUGGCGAAAGCGUGGGGAGCAAACAGG